rnacentral:rRNA from 1 species
UACGUAGGGUGCAAGCGUUAAUCGGAAUUACUGGGCGUAAAGCGUGCGCAGGCGGUUUUGUAAGUCUGACGUGAAAUCCCCGGGCUCAACCUGGGAAUUGCGUUGGAGACUGCAAGGCUUGAAUCUGGCAGAGGGGGGUAGAAUUCCACGUGUAGCAGUGAAAUGCGUAGAGAUGUGGAGGAACACCGAUGGCGAAGGCAGCCCCCCUGGGUCAAGAUUGACGCUCAUGCACGAAAGCGUGGGGAGCAAACAGG